rnacentral:rRNA from 1 species
AGAAUCAACGCUGGCGGCGUGCCUAACACAUGCAAGUCGCACGAGAAAGGGUAGCAAUACCUGAGUAAAGUGGCGCACGGGUGAGUAACACGUGAAUUAUCUACCUCCGAGUGGGGAAUAAACUGAGAGAAAUCUUAGCUAAUACCGCAUAACACUUACGAGUCAAAGCAGCAAUGCGCUUGGAGAGGAGUUCGCGGCCGAUUAGUUAGUUGGCGGGGUAAUGGCCCACCAAGACGAUGAUCGGUA